AAAGGGCUGCAGUAUUUUGACUGUACAAAGGUAGCAUAAUCAAUAGUCUCUUAAAUGGUGACUUGAAUGAAAGAUUGGAUGAAAUAUAUACUGUCUCUUAUUUAUAUUAAGAAAUUAAUUUUUUAAUUAAAAAGUUAAAAUAAAUUUAAAAGACGAGAAGACCCUAUAGAGUUUUAUACUUAAGUUAAAUAAAGUUAUUUUUUAUAAUAAUAAUAAAAAUUAAUUUGAGUAUUUUGUUGGGGUGAUAAAAAAAUAAGAAUAACUUUUUUUAAUAUAAAACAAUAAUAAAUGAUUAAUUGAUCCAAAAAUUUUGAUUAAAAGAGUAAAUUACCUUAGGGAUAACAGCGUAAUUUUUUUUUUUAGUUCAUAUAAAAAAAAGAGUUUGCGACCUCGAUGUUGGAUUAAGAUAAAAUUUAUAUGCAAAAGUAUAAAA
rnacentral:rRNA from 1 species